rnacentral:rRNA from 1 species
AGCGAACGCUGGCGGCAGGCUUAACACAUGCAAGUCGAGCGCCCCGCAAGGGGAGCGGCAGACGGGAGAGUAACACGUGGGAACAUACCUUUUGGUUCGGAACAACUGAGGGAAACUUCAGCUAAUACCGGAUAAGCCCUUACGGGGAAAGAUUUAUCGCCGAAAGAUUGGCCCGCGUCUGAUUAGCUAGUUGGUGAGGUAACGGCUCACCAAGGCGACGAUCAGUAGCUGGUCUGAGAGGAUGAUCAGCCUCACUGGGACUGAGACACGGCCCAGACUCCUACGGGAGGCAGCAGUGGGGAAUAUUGGACAAUGGGGGCAACCCUGAUCCAGCCAUGCCGCGUGAGUGAUGAAGGCCUUAGGGUUGUAAAGCUCUUUUGCCCGGGAAGAUAAUGACGGUACCGGGAGAACAAGCCCCGGCUAACUUCGUG